rnacentral:rRNA from 1 species
UGCCAGCAGCCGCGGUAAUACUGAAGGUGCAAGCGUUAAUCGGAAUCACUGGGCGUAAAGCGCUCGUAGGUGGCUUUGUAAGUCAGAUGUGAAAGCCCACGGCUCAACCGUGGAAUUGCAUUUGAUACUGCAUCGCUAGAGUAUAGGAGAGGGAAGUGGAAUUUCUGGUGUAGGAGUGAAAUCCGUAGAGAUCAGAAGGAACACCGGUGGCGAAGGCGACUUCCUGGACUAUUACUGACACUAAUAAGGCACAGCGUGGGCGUCAUACAGCGGUAGAUA